GUAGUGAUGUUGUUGAGUGGGUGUGCGAAUGACGUGCUAUUGUUUUAUACCUAAUCAUUGCUGUUACGCACUAUGGCCACUAUGCGAUACUACCUACGCAAUAAGACUAAGAAGCGGAUGCUCGACACAUCGAUUAGGCUAUAGCGUAUACGUUUUAAAGACGGAGACAACUCAUGAUGCGGGUAUAAUACAAUUUAUACUGUAGCACUAAGCUCUUAAGCCCAACAAAGUGAACUCGAUCUUGAAUGAUUUUUAAAUUCCUUUACCACCCAAGACAACCCACAAUCUGUGUAAGCUUAUAUCGCUAAAAUAUUUAUGGAAAUCACCCAAGGAUGACUGAAAAUAAGUAGGUAUUUAUUCAUGGUGCCGUGGAAGUAAAUGAAGUAAUGCGAAAGCAGUUCCCACGGCGCCGCCGGUUCAAACACGAAAAAAAAAGGUAUUUAUUAUAUUAUAAUGUGAUAAUAUAAUAUAUAUGCCACAGAGUGA